rnacentral:rRNA from 1 species
ACAGCAGCAGCCGCGGUAAUACGUAGGGUGCGAGCGUUAAUCGGAAUUACUGGGCGUAAAGCGAGCGCAGACGGUUACUUAAGCAGGAUGUGAAAUCCCCGGGCUCAACCUGGGAACUGCGUUCUGAACUGGGUGACUAGAGUGUGUCAGAGGGAGGUAGAAUUCCACGUGUAGCAGUGAAAUGCGUAGAGAUGUGGAGGAAUACCGAUGGCGAAGGCAGCCUCCUGGGAUAACACUGACGUUCAUGCUCGAAAGCGUGGGUAGCAAACAGGAUUAGAUACCCCUGUAGUCCCUGUCUCUUAUAC